GUGUUGCUGCGCGGUGCGUCAGGAGUCUUUUCCCCGGGGCCUUAUUGAUCCUGAAGGGAGCUGUCCCUGGUUGAACCCGUGGGUUCUUUCAAACGGCGCCCACCUACGAUGUAGGUACCCGGGAUCGCAUUCUCCAACGGCCGUGCGGCUUCACC
rnacentral:other from 1 species